rnacentral:rRNA from 1 species
CAGCAGCCGCGGUAAUACGUAGGUGGCAAGCGUUGUUCGGAAUCAUUGGGCGUAAAGGGCUCGCAGGCGGUUUCUUAAGUCUGAUGUGAAAGCCCCCGGCUCAACCGGGGAGGGUCAUUGGAAACUGGGAAACUUGAGUGCAGAAGAGGAGAGUGGAAUUCCACGUGUAGCGGUGAAAUGCGUAGAGAUGUGGAGGAACACCAGAGGCGAAGGCGACUCUCUGGUCUGUAACUGACGCUGAGGAGCGAAAGCGUGGGGAGCGAACAGGAUUAGAGACCCGCGUAGUCCCUGUCUCUUAUAC